rnacentral:rRNA from 1 species
CCCUUAGAUGUUCUGGGCCGCACGUGCGCUACACUGAUUCAUGCAACAAGUUUUGUCCUUGGCUGAUAGGCCUGGGUAAUCUUUGAACGUGAAUCGUGAUGGGGAUAGAUGAUUGCAAUUAUUCAUCUUCAACGAGGAAUUCCUAGUAAACGCAAGUCAUCAGCUUGCAUUGAUUACGUCCCUGCCCUUUGUACACACCGCCCGUCGCACCUACCGAUUGAAUGGUCCGGUGAAAUCUUCGGAUCUGAGAGAUGUCUGAUUAAUUUCGGACGCCUUUUGGAAAAGUUGCUUAAACCUUACCAUUUAGAGGAAGGUGAAGUCGUAACA